GUGUCAGCAGCCGCGGUAAUACGAAGGGGGCUAGCGUUGUUCGGAAUUACUGGGCGUAAAGCGCGCGUAGGCGGACGCUUAAGUCAGGGGUGAAAGGCCGGGGCUCAACCCCGGAACGGCCCUUGAUACUGGGCGUCUGGAGUCCGGAAGAGGUUGGUGGAAUUCCGAGUGUAGAGGUGAAAUUCGUAGAUAUUCGGAGGAACACCAGAGGCGAAGGCGGCCAACUGGUCCGGUACUGACGCUGAGGCGCGAAAGCGUGGGGAGCAAACAGGAUUAGAUACCCUGGUAGUCC
rnacentral:rRNA from 1 species